GCACUCGUAGCUUAAACUCUUAAAGCAAUACACUGAAAAUGUUUAGAUGAUUCGUAACUGAACCCGAGCGCA